rnacentral:lncRNA from 1 species
CAAGCUGAUUCCUUGAGGGGUUUACACAUCCUUUGAAGAAUUAACUGAAAGCUAGAAAUAAGUAGAGACACCCCAACUUGCAAUUCAACCUAAAUGUUUGUUCAACUGCAAAUUAAAGUUCAGAAACAAGUUUUCUGCUCAUGUUCAUUAAAUUAAAUGCUACCUUUGUUUCGGCACUCGUUUGGUUUUAGGAAUUCAGUGAUUUGUCAAAAAUAAAACCCAGUUAGUUCCAAUUAGUAUGCAGCCUAAUGCACAUUUCAGUAAUUCUAUUAUUUGUGUUCAUGUACGUACAGUAAUAUCCAAUCUUCACAGCUGUAUGAAUAGAAAGUAUUGAGAGAUAAGUCCAGUUCCCCAUCACAAUUCUCAUCUUUCAGAGACAUUUCUAUAAAAAACUAUUUUGAGAAAGCAGCUUUAUUUAUACACACAUUAUAUAUCUGCCGCUAUACCCACACUUCGCUUACGCGUGCGUCAUUAGAAUAUUUGCAUGAGCGUUCAUAUUCCUAGUCCAACAUAUGUAAACAAAUCACACAGCAAUUUGAAAAUUUAGCAACUAAAUAGGCAAUCUGUUAAGCAUAAUCAGGCAUGCUAUUCAGCAACUGUAUAAUAUAAUUCAAUCUUCCUAAGAAAAUAUAUGUUUUGCAUGAGAGUGCCUUUACAAAAGUUGAUGAAACUUUCUAGGAAUUUGUACUGAAAUUUUCACAUAUUCAGAAAAUAACAAAGCCAUCUGACUCAUGCUUAAAUAAAAGGCAAAUCUCAUCACUGUAACCUGAUAAGAACCUAAUUGUCUUAUUGUCUAUCAUUUAUAAAUACAAUACAGUAGUUGGAGAUAUUUCCAAAGACAAUGCAAUCUUCUAGUCAAGAUCCUACUCACAUAUUAAAAUAAAUGAAAGAAAAGUGUCAGAAAAUUAACCAUGAUCCACAGUGUUUUGAUAAGCUAAUAUAUAUGCUAAAAUUUACUACUCAAUUCAUAAAUACGAUCAUCAUAAAUCAUUCCUUCUACUCUUUUUAGAGUGAUUUGAUUUUUU